UACGUAGGGACCGAGCGUUGUCCGGAAUCAUUGGGCGUAAAGAGCGUGUAGGCGGCCACUUAAGUCCUGCGUGAAAUCUUGCGGCUCAACCGCAAGCGGUCGUGGGAAACUGGGUGGCUAGAGUGCGGGAGAGGAGAGUGGAAUUCCUGGUGUAGCGGUGGAAUGCGCAGAUAUCAGGAAGAACACCCGUGGCGAAGGCGGCUCUCUGGAACGCAACUGGCGCUGAGACGCGAAAGCGUGGGGAGCAAACAGG
rnacentral:rRNA from 1 species